GACGAACGCUGGCGGCGUGCUUAACACAUGCAAGUCGAACGCUGAAGCACCAGCUUGCUGGUGUGGAUGAGUGGCGAACGGGUGAGUAAUACGUGAGUAACCUGCCCUUGACUCUGGGAUAAGCCCGGGAAACUGGGUCGAAUACUGGAUGCUACAUGUCACCGCAUGGUGGUGUGUGGAAAGGGUUUACUGGUCUUGGAUGGGCUGACGGCCUAUCAGCUUGUUGGUGAGGUAAUGGCUCACCAAGGCGACGACGGGUAGCCGGCCUGAGAGGGUGACCGGCCACACUGGGACUGAGACACGGCACAGACUCCUACGGGAGGCAGCAGUGGGGAAUAUUGCACAAUGGGCGAAAGCCUGAUGCAGCGACGCCGCGUGAGGGAUGACGGCCUUCGGGUUGUAAACCUCUUUCAGCAGGGAAGAAGCCACAAGUGACGGUACCUGCAGAAGAAGCGCCGGCUAACUACGUG
rnacentral:rRNA from 1 species